rnacentral:rRNA from 1 species
GAUGCAGCGACGCCGCGUGAGUGAGGAAGUAUUUCGGUAUGUAAAGCUCUAUCAGCAGGGAAGAAAUGACGGUACCUGACCAAGAAGCCCCGGCUAACUACCGUGCC